rnacentral:rRNA from 1 species
GACGAACGCUGGCGGCGUGCUUAACACAUGCAAGUCGAACGGAAAGGCCCUGCUUUUGUGAGAUGCUCGAGUGGCGAACGGGUGAGUAACACGUGAGUAACCUGCCCUUGACUUUGGGAUAACUUCAGGAAACUGGGGCUAAUACCGGAUAGGAGCUCCUGCUGCAUGGGGGGGGGUGGAAAGUUUCGGCGGGUGGGGAUGGACUCGCGGCUUAUCCGCUUGUUGGUGGGGUAGUGGCUUACCAAGGCUUUGACGGGUAGCCGGCCUGAGAGGGUGACCGACCACAUUGGGACUGAGAUACGGCCAAGACUCCUACGGGAGGCAGCAGUGGGGAAUAUUGCACAAUGGGCGGAAGCCUGAUGCAGCAACGCCGCGUGCGGGAUGACGGCCUUCGGGUUGUAAACCGCUUUCGCCUGUGACGAAGCGUGAGUGACGGUAAUGGGUAAAGAAGCACCGGCUAACUACGUG